AGUGAACGCUGGCGGUAGGCCUAACACAUGCAAGUCGAACGGCAGCACAGUAAGAGCUUGCUCUUACGGGUGGCGAGUGGCGGACGGGUGAGGAAUACAUCGGAAUCUACUUUUUCGUGGGGGAUAACGUAGGGAAACUUACGCUAAUACCGCAUACGACCUACGGGUGAAAGCAGGUGAUCUUCGGACCUUUCGCGAUUGAAUGAGCCGAUGUCGGAUUAGCUAGUUGGCGGGGUAAAGGCCCACCAAGGCGACGAUCCGUAGCUGGUCUGAGAGGAUGAUCAGCCACACUGGAACUGAGACACGGUCCAGACUCCUACGGGAGGCAGCAGUGGGGAAUAUUGGACAAUGGGCGCAAGCCUGAUCCAGCCAUACCGCGUGGGUGAAGAAGGCCUUCGGGUUGUAAAGCCCUUUUGUUGGGAAAGAAAAGCAGCAGGUUAAUACCCCGCUGUUCUGACGGUACCCAAAGAAUAAGCACCGGCUAACUUCGUG
rnacentral:rRNA from 1 species